GACGAACGCUGGCGGCGUGCUUAACACAUGCAAGUCGAACGGAGUGGCGAACGGGUGAGUAAAACGGGGGUGACCUGCCCUGCACUUCGGGCUAAGCCUGGGAAACUGGGUCUAAUACCGGUUAGUGUGGGAUGGGCCCGCGGCCUAUCAGUUUGUUGGUGGGGUAAUGGCCUACCAAGGCGGCGACGGGUAGCCGGCCUGAGAGGGUGGACGGCCACCUUGGGACUGAGGGACGAACCAGACGCCUACGGGAGGCAGCAGUGGGGAAUAUUGCACAAUGGGGGGAAGCCUGAUGCAGCGGCGCCGGGGGGGGGAUGACGGCCUUCGGGUUGUAAACUCCUUUCACCAUCGACGCGGUAGAUGGAGAAGAAGCACCGGCUAACUACGUGCCAGCAGCCGCGGUAAUAC
rnacentral:rRNA from 1 species